CAUGCAAGUCGAACGAGAAAGUAUCUUCGGAUACGAGUACAGUGGCGGACGGGUGAGUAAUACAUAGGAAUCUACCCAAUGGAGGGGGAUAGCUCGAGGAAACUCGAAUUAAUACCGCAUAAUCUCCACGGAGUAAAGAGGGCUUCGGCUCUCGCCAUCGGAUGAGCCUAUGCAGGAUUAGCUUGUUGGUGAGGUAAAGGCUUACCAAGGCGACGAUCCUUAGCUGGUUUGAGAGGAUGACCAGCCACAUCGGGACUGAGACACGGCCCGGACUUCUACGGAAGGCAGCAGUAGGGAAUAUUGGACAAUGAGCGAAAGCUUGAUCCAGCCAUGCCGCGUGUGCGAUGACGGCCCUCGGGUUGUAAAGCACUUUAGGUAACGAGGAAAAGUUAGGUGUUAAUACCAUCUAACCUUGACGUUAAUUACAGAAUAAGCACCGGCUAAAUCCGUGCCAGCAGCCGCGGUAAUACGGAUGGUGCAAGCGUUAAUCGGAAUUACUGGGCGUAAAGCGCGCGUAGGUGGCAUAUUAAGUUAGAUGUGAAAUCCCGAGGCUUAACCUCGGAACUGCAUCUAAAACUAAUAAGCUAGAGUACUAGAGAG
rnacentral:rRNA from 1 species